rfam:Scytonema millei VB511283 scaffold_13, whole genome shotgun sequence.
GUAAGCAACCCCCGGAUUAAAUCCGGGGGCUUCAGCAGACUCCGUUCUGAUUGAAGCCCUAGCUUACCAGACUAAGUACCUUGAGUACUACGUUAUUGGCAAGUGCCGAAGUUCCUACCCUGGAAUGCGUAGCUAGUUCCAGGCUCUAGAACUGGAGGAUUAAACAGGUUUAUGGGUUAAGCCAGUGUCUUCUGGACGUGCCGACCAAUAACAUUGUCGAAGCUAACUUUAC